rnacentral:lncRNA from 1 species
UCAGCCAGCCCAGAAGGGGGCUCCCACAGCGCAGCAGCGGGCUGAGGGGCUCCUCAAGCACUGCCAGAGUGGACGCUGUGGCCUAAAGAGGUGCUGAGAGCGAGCGAGGGCUGCUAGCACGAUGUCACCUCUCAAUUACAGUGUUGUAGUUUAACAUAGCUAAUCUUGGCUUCAUGAGGCACUGUCUUUUCUGCGUUGCCAUUUGGUUUGUGAGCAUUUGAGGAAACUGUCUUCCUGAACUCCACAAAUUUUGUAUGUUAUUUCAGCACUUGAGGAAACCGUCUUCCUGAACUCCACUGCAUCUCAGUGCGAGUCUCCUUCACCUCCUGUCUGGAAUACAUAACAGCCUCGACACUCCAGCUGCAUCUACUCAGAAGCAUUCUUUGCCCAGGAAACUCGUCCUUUUAAAAAUGCAUAUUUCAUGAAGAGUUUUGGGCAUAAUCACGUUUGGCUAUCAUAGUUUAACUAAAAUUGAGUUCUUUUGUUCAAAAGUGUGCAUGACGGGGUUGCUAGAAAAAUUAAAAAAACAA